rnacentral:miRNA from 1 species
ACACACACACACACACACACACAGUGUGUGUGUGUGUGUGUGUAU